CCCUCCUCCUCCUCCUCCCACUGAACUAGCGCCCCUGCCUGAGAUGGACGGACCAGCCCCUUCGCUGACCAUUUCUGGCACUCUCCUUAUCUCGUCGUCGCUCUCCAUCUCUACUUCAAUAUAUUCGACGAUUGAAUCAGACAAAAUUAGGUGAAAUGUUUGAUUACCAAGAUCUAACACUACCAGAAAAACAAAAUUUUCCAUUCUAAGGAAUUGCGAUGAAAACCCAUAUCAGAUAACACCACAUUCUUCAACAUUAGCAGAGACGAAACAGAGUAUUUCUGUG